rnacentral:tRNA from 1 species
GACCGCAUGGUCUAGUGGUUUGGAUGUCCGCCUCUGAAGCGGGAGGACGUGGGUUCGAGCCCGUCCGGGGACA